rnacentral:lncRNA from 1 species
CCGGGGCUGACGCGAGGAGCCCAGGCACAUCCCCAAGCUCUCGGAGUAGGCCCUAAGGGAGAGGAAACAUCAACAGUCAAAGAUCAAGCCAUCAAGAUGGUGUUGGUGGCUGGAUCUCAGAACGCAUAUAAAGUCUCUUUGGCAGGAGUCUCUCCAUGUAUCCCUGCACUGUUCCAUCCAGAACCAUCCUCCAGGAACAGCUGGAUGUACACCUUCCUGCUGGUGCAGGUGGAAGCUGGAGACUUCUCCCAGGACCACAGGGAAGGCUCCUUGCUGGAGAAGCUAAAACCAGGCCCGGCAUACACUCCUUCUCAACUCUCACUUCCAUGCUGGCUUUUCUGUGACCUAGUCUGAAGGAUCAGCCUCUCUUCUAUCUUCAGGCUUUUCUCUGAAGACUUCCUUCGGUUAUAAGCCAUGCUUGAUGUUUUAUUUGUUAGGUAUAUGAAUUAGUCGUCAAUGGACAAAAACUACAGAUCUUUUAUCUUCAUAGGCAGGAGUCAGUGAGCACUUGAGGGUUCAGAUACAAUACACAGAAGGAGACUGGAGAAGGUGAACGAAGGAAGUGCAGCAGUGAGGGACGUUCAAAAGCCCAAACCAGCAGCUUAGUGUGCUAGUGAACUUGUGACUUCAACACUUGGAGGGCCGAGGCAGGAGGGUCCAGGUUCAUUUCUUUUUUUUUUUUGGUUUUUGAC